rnacentral:rRNA from 1 species
AUGAACGCUGGCGGCGUGUUUAAGGCAUGCAAGUCGAACGAAGUACUCUCGCAAGAGAAUUACUAGUGGCAAACGGGUGAGUAACACAUUGGUAACCUACCUUCAAGACGGGGAUAGCUCGCCGAAAGGCGAAUUAAUACUCGAUGGUAAUGCGACAACGAAAGUUGAUGCAUUUAAAGAUUUAUCGCUUGAAGAGGGGCCUAUGUCUGAUUAGCUAGUUGGCGGAGUAAAAGCCCACCAAGGCUAUGAUCAGUAGCAGGCGUGAGAGCGUGACCUGCCUCACUGGGACUGAGACACUGCCCAGACAUCUACGGAUGGCUGCAGUCAAGAAUAUUCCUCAAUGGACGAAAGUCUGAAGGAGCGACGCCGCGUGUAGGAUGAAGGUCUUCGGAUCGUAAACUACUUUUAUGUGGGAAGAAUUUGUGACGGUACCACACGAAUAAGAGGUUGCUAACUCUGU